rnacentral:rRNA from 1 species
UACGUAGGGCGCAAGCGUUAUCCGGAAUUAUUGGGCGUAAAGAGCUCGUAGGCGGUUUGUCGCGUCUGCCGUGAAAGUCCGGGGCUCAACUCCGGAUCUGCGGUGGGUACGGGCAGACUAGAGUGCAGUAGGGGAGACUGGAAUUCCUGGUGUAGCGGUGAAAUGCGCAGAUAUCAGGAGGAACACCGAUGGCGAAGGCAGGUCUCUGGGCUGUAACUGACGCUGAGGAGCGAAAGCAUGGGGAGCAAACAGG